rnacentral:rRNA from 1 species
CAAUAGCAUAUAUUAACGUUGUUGCAGUUGAAAAGCUCGUAGUUGAACUUUUGGUAGGAGCGACCUGGCCUUGGGCGCAUGCCCUUGUUUGCCGUGUGUCGUGUCUGGCCAUCCUUUUCUUCGUUUUUCGGAGGAAUCUUUUACUGUGAGUAAACUGGAGUGCUCAAAACAAGACGUUUGUUUGGUACAUUAAAGCAUGGAAUAAUAAGAUAGGACCUGGUUACUAUUUUGUUGGUUUGCAUAGCUAGGUAAUGAUUAACAGGGACAGUUGGGGGUAUUCGUAUUUAAUUGUCAGGGGUGAAAUUCUUGGAUUUAUGAAAGACGAACGACUGCGAAAGCAUUUACCAAGGAUGUUUUCAUUAA